ACGCUCGACACCUACCGGAGGCAGCAGUAGGGAAUCUUCCACAAUGGACGCAAGUCUGAUGGAGCAACGCCGCGUGAGUGAAGAAGGUUUUCGGAUCGUAAAGCUCUGUUGUUGGUGAAGAAGGAUAGAGGCAGUAACUGGCCUUUAUUUGACGGUAAUCAACCAGAAAGUCACGGCUAACUACGUGACAGCAGCCGCGGUAAUCUGAGCGGGCUGGCAAGGC
rnacentral:rRNA from 1 species